CACGCAUCCGCGAAACAACCUUUCGAAGCGGAAUCAAAACUAGAGUGACCGUGGAGAGUCGGUGCUAUAUCAGCAUUGAAUUAAUGUGACCGUACCGAGGUGCACCAAAAAUACCAUGGGAAACCGAAUUAUUUGCUUUUAGUUGCUCAACUUUGAAACCAACGUGUUGCAUCGCGGCCGAAAUGAAACUGAAUUCAAAUUUCCAAGCGGCAAGUGUACACAUGCACCACCCAAAUUUUGUGAAUGAAAACGCACACACACAGCAAUGGUCACCUACACUUAAUCACACACAUGUUGCACCGGCGCCACCAACAGCGGAAACAACCGAAGAUCGCCGGCAGAGAAAGUCGUGGGCAUAUGCGACUAGGAAAGGGCAGUACAAAACCAUGUUAUUGAUGAAUUAUUUAUAAUGAAUUGAAUUUCUUUAUAACAGAAGGAAUAUGUCGAUAUGCCAUGAAAUCAUAAAAAAUGGUGGUAAACUUUUCAUGUUAAUAUUUAAAAACACUAUUAAAAGAACUGAUGUAGUUUAGGAUUCAAA